rnacentral:lncRNA from 1 species
AUCUCUACCUUCGUCUCCUCUCCUUCUUUUCUUCUACUUUUUAUCUCUCUACUUGUCACUCUUUUUCUCUCCUCCUCUUUUUUUUCCACCUCUACCUCCUCCCAUUGCUACUUUUCUUGCCUUAGCUCCUACCCCACUUACUCUCCCUCUUCGCUUGUUCUCUUUCACCAUUGUUGGCUGCCUCCUCUACCUCCAUCUCCUCUCUUUUCUUUCCAUUCCUUUAAGCUCUCCACCUGAUGCUCCUUCAUUUCCUCCUUGGCCCCUUGCGCAAUGUCACCUCCUCCCCCAGCUGCACUAAUAUUUGGUUGGUUUUUGUCCAUCCUAGCUGUGGCAAAGUAGAUCAAUUAAUUAUAAUUAUUUAUUUUGGUUAUAAGCAAAUAAAUCUACCACAGCUAGUUAGCUUCCUUUUCUAUUUAGGAGAGAUUAACGUAUUGAGGCUUGGUCUCAAUGUAGCUAUGCUGGGUCACUAUAUUUCCUUAAAAGAUCUAAAUGAUCGAGAACAUAUAUAGAACAUAAUAAUUUCAUAUUCCAAUCUACAUGAAAAUCCACCCAUUGGGUUGUGUGAUAUUGCGGUUUAACUCAUGAAUUAUUUCAAUAUAGUAAUCAAUUCAUUAAUGUAGACUAAAAGUUUCAAUAUUAUUACCCUUAGUUUUGAUAUCGUUGAAUACACUAACUUGG